AUUGUUCAACGGCCGCGGUAUCCUAACCGUGCGAAGGUAGCGUAAUCACUUGUUCUUUAAAUGAGGACUAGUAUGAACGGCUCCACGAAGGCUAUACUGUCUCCCUUAUCUAAUCAGUUAAACUAAUCUCCCCGUGAAGAAGCGGGGAUUCACAUAUAAGACGAGAAGACCCUAUGGAGCUUAAAACACCUCUAAACAUUUGACCUCCACACUACUAUUUUCAGAAAUCUUCACAAAGCCCGUCAUUUUGUUUUAAGUUUUAGGUUGGGGUGACCGCGGAGAAUAACCUAACCUCCACGUAGAAAGAACUUUCUUUUCUAAGCAAAAAGCUACAUCUUUAUGCAUCAACAUAUUGACCUAAUUGACCCAAUUAUUUGAUCAAC
rnacentral:rRNA from 1 species